rnacentral:ncRNA from 1 species
UCUUAGGCCUCAUUGAGGCCACAAAUCAUUUUCCAUAAAAGAAUAU